rnacentral:rRNA from 1 species
AGUGAACGCUGGCGGUAGGCCUAACACAUGCAAGUCGAACGGCAGCACAGUAAGAGCUUGUUCUUACGGGUGGCGAGUGGCGGACGGGUGAGGAAUACAUCGGAAUCUACUUUUUCGUGGGGGAUAACGUAGGGAAACUUACGCUAAUACCGCAUACGACCUACGGGUGAAAGCAGGGGAUCUUCGGACCUUGCGCGAUUGAAUGAGCCGAUGUCGGAUUAGCUAGUUGGCGGGGUAAAGGCCCACCAAGGCGACGAUCCGUAGCUGGUCUGAGAGGAUGAUCAGCCACACUGGAACUGAGACACGGUCCAGACUCCUACGGGAGGCAGCAGUGGGGAAUAUUGGACAAUGGGCGCAAGCCUGAUCCAGCCAUGCCGCGUGGGUGAAGAAGGCCUUCGGGUUGUAAAGCCCUUUUGUUGGGAAAGAAAAGCAGCAGGUUAAUACCCCGCUGUUCUGACGGUACCCAAAGAAUAAGCACCGGCUAACUUCGUG